rnacentral:rRNA from 1 species
GAUGAACGCUGGCGGCGUGCUUAACACAUGCAAGUCGAACGAUUAAACUGGCUUCGGCCAGAUAUAGAGUGGCGAACGGGUGAGUAACACGUGACCAACCUGCCCCGCGCUCCGGGACAACCGCUGGAAACGGCGGCUAAUACCGGAUGCUCCGGGGAGGCCCCAUGGCCUCCCCGGGAAAGCCUUAACGGCGCGGGAUGGGGUCGCGGCCCAUUAGGUAGACGGCGGGGUAACGGCCCACCGUGCCCGCGAUGGGUAGCCGGACUGAGAGGUCGACCGGCCACAUUGGGACUGAGAUACGGCCCAGACUCCUACGGGAGGCAGCAGUGGGGAAUUUUGCGCAAUGGGGGAAACCCUGACGCAGCAACGCCGCGUGCGGGACGAAGGCCUUCGGGUUGUAAACCGCUUUCAGCAGGGAAGACAUAGACGGUAC